rnacentral:misc_RNA from 1 species
GAACAAUCUGGGUACCAUUGCACGAUCUGGGACCAAGGAAUUCAUGGAAGCUCUUGCAGCCGGUGCUGAUGUGAGCAUGAUUGGUCAGUUUGGAGUUGGUUUCUACUCAGCCUACCUUGUGGCUGAAAAGGUUAUUGUUACCACUAAACACAAUGAUGAUGAGCAGUAUGUUUGGGAGUCUCAGGCGGGUGGGUCGUUUACAGUGACCCGGGAUACUUCUGGGGAAGUUCUUGGACGGGGGACCAAGAUUACACUUUUCCUCAAGGAGGACCAGUUGGAGUAUCUUGAGGAACGUCGUCUAAAAGAUCUGGUCAAGAAGCACUCUGAAUUCAUCAGCUACCCGAUCUAUCUCUGGACUGAGAAGACUGUUGAGAAAGAGGUUAGUGACGAGGAGGAUGAGGAAACCAAAAAGGAAGAGGAAGGUGAUGUGGAAGAGGUUGAUGAGGAUAAAGAAAAGGACUCUAAGAAGAAAAAGAAGGUCAAGGAGGUGACCCACGAAUGGGAACUUAUCAACAGACAGAAACCCAUUUGGCUCUGGAAGCCAGAGGAAGUCACCAACGAGGAAUAUGCCUCAUUCUACAAGAGUCUUACUAAUGACUGGGAGGACCCUCUUGCUUGGAAGCACUUCUCUGUUGAAGGGCAGCUGGAGUUUAAGGCGCUACUAUUUGUUCCUAAAAGAGCUACAUUCGAUCUAUUUGACACGAGGAAGAAAUUGAACAAUAUCAAACUUUAUGUAAGAAGGGUGUUCAUAAUGGACAACUGUGAAGAGCUCAUUCCUGAAUACCUUGGAUUUGUUAAGGGCGUUGUUGAUUCUGAUGACCUGCCACUCAACAUAUCUCGUGAAACGCUGCAACAGAACAAGAUUCUCAAGGUGAUCAGGAAAAAUUUGGUGAAGAAAUGUAUUGAGAUGUUC